CGUAACGCGUAUGCAACCUACCUUAAUCUGGGGGAUAGCCCGAAGAAAUUCGGAUUAACACCGCAUAACAUUAUUGAAUAGCAUUAUUUAAUAAUCAAAUAUUUAUAGGAUUAAGAUGGGCAUGCGUGUCAUUAGCUAGUUGGCGGGGUAACGGCCCACCAAGGCGACGAUGACUAGGGGAUCUGAGAGGAUGACCCCCCACACUGGUACUGAGACACGGACCAGACUCCUACGGGAGGCAGCAGUAAGGAAUAUUGGUCAAUGGAGGCAACUCUGAACCAGCCAUGCCGCGUGCAGGAAGACAGCCCUCUGGGUCGUAAACUGCUUUUAUUCGGGAAUAAACCUAUCUACGUGUAGAUAGCUGAAUGUACCGAAGGAAUAAGGAUCGGCUAACUCCGUGCC
rnacentral:rRNA from 1 species